AUGACGGCCGCCGCCACCAUCACCAUCAUCUUCAUCACUCUCUGUCUGAUCUCAGGUCAGGUUCUCUGUUUUAAAGUGAUUGGCUGCUCUGGAGGGAGUGUAAUGUUCAAGUGCAUGAACUCAAACCAGAGAGAGUCUAAUGAUCAGCUUAAAGGAAAGUAUUUCUGCAGAAACAGAGACUGUAAACCUGGCAUCAGUACUGAGCUUCUGCGCCGCUGGGUUUAUAAUGAGAGAUACACUCUGUAUGAUGAUGGAAACAGCAGAUUCUUCACAGUGUUUAUCAGGAACCUCAGCAGAGAGGAUGAUGGGAGAUACACAUGUGGAAACAAUCAGAAAUGGAGUCGUGAUGUUGAUUUAAGGGUGAACAAAAGUACGUAAGAUUCUCACUACAGUAAUUAUUUUUACUAUAGCACUAUUUAAAGGUGCACUACAGAAGACUUUUAAUAAAAAUGAACAAAACUUGGUGAUUGUGCAAGUAGCUACAUAAGUCAUGAUUCACAACAGUAGCUUACAAUAAUGAUUCAUAAUUUGAGCUGUUGAGUCAGAUUAUAUUGGGAGAAG
rnacentral:lncRNA from 1 species